GUAGGUGGCAAGCGUUGUCCGGAAUUAUUAGGCGUAAAGCGCGCGCAGGCGGUUCUUUAAGUCUGAUGUGAAAGCCCACGGCUCAACCGUGGAGGGUCAUUGGAAACUGGAGAACUUGAGUACAGAAGAGGAAAGCGGAAUUCCACGUGUAGCGGUGAAAUGCGUAGAGAUGUGGAGGAACACCAGUGGCGAAGGCGGCUUUCUGGUCUGUAACUGACGCUGAGGCGCGAAAGCGUGGGGAGCAAACAGGAUUAGAUACCCUGGUAGUCCACGCCGUAAACGAUGAGUGCUAAGUGUUAGGGGGGUUUUCCGCCCCCCUUAGUGCUGCAGCUAACGCAUUAAGCACUCCGCCUGGGAGUACGGCCGCAAGGCUG
rnacentral:rRNA from 1 species